rnacentral:rRNA from 1 species
CAUGCAAGUCGAGCGUGAUCCAUUGACUUCGGUUGGUGGUGAAAGCGGCGAACGGGUGAGUAACGCGUGGGAACGUGCCCUUCAGAACGGAAUAGCCCGGGGAAACCUGGAUUAAUACCGUAUACGCCCCAAGGGGGAAAGAUUUAUCGUUGAAGGAUCGGCCCGCGUCUGAUUAGGUAGUUGGUGGGGUAAUGGCCUACCAAGCCGACGAUCAGUAGCUGGUUUGAGAGGAUGAUCAGCCACACUGGGACUGAGACACGGCCCAGACUCCUACGGGAGGCAGCAGUGGGGAAUCUUGGACAAUGGGGGCAACCCUGAUCCAGCCAUGCCGCGUGAGUGAAGAAGGCCGUCAGGUUGUAAGGCUCUUUCAACGGUGAAGAUAAUGACGGUAGCCGUAGAAGAAGCCCCGGCUAACUCCGUGCCAGCAGCCGCGGUAAUACGGAGGGGGCUAGCGUUGUUCGGAAUUACUGGGCGUAAAGCGCGCGUAGGCGGGUUGGCCAGUCAGGGGUGAAAUCCCGGAGCUCAACUCCGGAACUGCCCUUGAUACUGCCAGUCUAGAGAUCUGGAGAGGUGAGUGGAAUUCCGAGUGUAGAGGUGAAAUUCGUAGAUAUUCGGAGGAACACCAGCGGCGAAGGCGGCUCACUGGACAGAUACUGACG